rnacentral:rRNA from 1 species
CAGUAGCCACGGUAAUACGAAGGGUGCAAGCGUUACUCGGAAUUACUGGGCGUAAAGCGUGCGUAGGUGGUGGUUUAAGUCCGUUGUGAAAGCCCUGGGCUCAACCUGGGAAUUGCAGUGGAUACUGGGUCACUAGAGUGUGGUAGAGGAUAGUGGAAUUUCCGGUGUAGCAGUGAAAUGCGUAGAGAUCGGAAGGAACAUCUGUGGCGAAGGCGACUAUCUGGGCCGACACUGACACUGAGGCACGAAAGCGUGGGGAGCAAACAGGAUUAGAUACCCCCGUAGUCCCUGUCUCUUAUAC